rnacentral:rRNA from 1 species
UACAGAGGGGGCAAGCGUUGUUCGGAAUUACUGGGCGUAAAGGGCGCGUAGGCGGCCUUCUAAGUCGAACGUGAAAUCCCCGGGCUCAACCCGGGAACUGCGUCCGAUACUGGAAGGCUUGAAUCCGGGAGAGGGAUGUGGAAUUCCAGGUGUAGCGGUGAAAUGCGUAGAUAUCUGGAGGAACACCGGUGGCGAAGGCGGACAUCCUGG